rnacentral:rRNA from 1 species
UGGGGGAUAUUGCACAAUGGGCGUAAGCCUGAUGCAGCGACGCCGCGUGGGGGAUGAAGGCUUUCGGGUUGUAAACCUCUUUCGCUAUCGAACAAGGCCCGCUUAGGGUGGGUUGAGGGUAGGUGGAGAAGAAGCGCCGGCUAACUACGUGCCAGCAGCCGCGGUAAUACGUAGGGCGCGAGCGUUGUCCGGAAUUAUUGGGCGUAAAGGGCUUGUAGGCGGCUUGUUGCGCCUGCUGUGAAAACGCGGGGCUUAACUUCGCGCGUGCAGUGGGUACGGGCAGGCUUGAGUGUGGUAGGGGUGACUGGAAUUCCAGGUGUAGCGGUGGAAUGCGCAGAUAUCUGGAGGAACACCGAUGGCGAAGGCAGGUCACUGGGCCAUUACUGACGCUGAGGAGCGAAAGCAUGGGUAGCGAACAGG